rnacentral:rRNA from 1 species
AGUGAACGCUGGCGGUAGGCCUAACACAUGCAAGUCGAACGGCAGCACAGUAAGAUUUUGCUCUUACGGGUGGCGAGUGGCGGACGGGUGACGAAUGCAUCGGAAUCUUCUUUUUCGUGGGGGAUAACGUAGGGAAACUUACGCUCAUACCGCAUACGACCUACGGUUGAAAGCAGGGGAUCUUCGCACCUUGCGCGAAUGAAUUAGCCGAUGUCGGAUUAGCUAGUUGGCGGGGUAAAUGCCCACCGUGGCGACGAUCCGUAGCUGGUCUGAGAGGAUGGUCAGCCACACUGGAACUGAGACACGGUCCAGACUCCUACGGGAGGCAGCAGUGGGGAAUAUUGGACAAUGGGCGCAAGCCUGAUCCAGCGAUACCGCGUGGGUGAAGAAGGCCUUCGGGUUGUAAAGCCCUUUUGUUGGGAAAGAACAGCAGCAGGUUAAUACCCCGCUGUUCUGACGGUACCCAAAGAAUAAGCACCGGCUAACUACGUG